rnacentral:misc_RNA from 1 species
AAAAGGGACGGCCCGCCCGGGGACCCCUAAACUCUGUUUUUAGUGGAACUUCUGAGUAAAACAAACAAAUAAAUCAAAACUUUCAACAACGGAUCUCUUGGUUCUGGCAUCGAUGAAGAACGCAGCAAAAUGCGAUAAGUAAUGUGAAUUGCAGAAUUCAGUGAAUCAUCGAAUCUUUGAACGCACAUUGCGCCCGCCAGUAUUCUGGCGGGCAUGCCUGUUCGAGCGUCAUUUCAACCCUCAAGCUCAGCUUGGUGUUGGGACUCGCGGUAACCCGCGUUCCCCAAAUCGAUUGGCGGUCACGUCGAGCUUCCAUAGCGUAGUAAUCAUACACCUCGUUACUGGUAAUCGUCGCGGCCACGCCGUAAAACCCCAACUUCUGAAUGUUGACCUCGGAUCAGGUAGGAAUACCCGCUGAACUUAAGCAUAUCAAUAAGCGGAGGAACAU